UUUAGUCCACCAACGACCUAACAACGCGAAGGUUGUGUUUUUUCGAUUUGUUUGCGAAAGUAAAUCGUGAAAUCGUCGUGUUAAUUACAUACAAUACGUACUAAAAGAGUGCGAGUGCGUUGACUGCAGAAAAUCUACUUACUUACUUGUUAUACUAUUGUGUGAAGACCACUUUUUGGAGGAAAAAGAAAUACAAUACUUAGAAAAAUAUUUGGUGUGAAAAGAAAAAUAUUUGGAAAAGUUUUGAAAAAAGUCGGGUGUUUGAAGCAAAUAAACUACUGGUGUGCGUAAAAAAGUUUUUAAGAAAUUAUCAAAUUAAAAAAAAAAACAAUUCCUGUAAAAAAGUAUAAACUCCUUUAAGGAAAAAAUAUUUGAAAAAAGUGCGCCAUACAAAAGUGAAAGAGUCAAAACUUCUAAAAUUCAAGCAAUCCAGAAAUUUAUACGGAAAAGUGAUACAAGUGCGGAAGCUGUACAGUUUUAUUUUGUAUCUUAUUAAAAAAUAGUGAGCUACAAAACUAGAAAAGUUUUUAUCAAAUACUUAUCUAUAUAAUAUAAAAUAUUAAUUUGAAAAAUAGCAACAACUAACCCUCGUUUAGAUUUCUUUUCAAGUGAAAUAAUUUAUUCUGAGGAAAAAGUUAGACACUCCAUUUUAAAAUAAAAAAUAAUUUAAAUAAAAAUAAUAAUUUUGUGCAAACCAGCCCAAAAACAACCAAAAAUGAGUGUAAAGUGUUAACGAAAUAUUUAUAACCAACUGUAAAAUCCCCAAAUUCUGCGGUCAGCAACCAAGCAAAAACACUUGGAAAUCAUCGGCCAACGAAGAAGUCUAGUGAACACAACUGAAAAUUUCCAUUAAUUUAACGGCGACUUAAUCAUCAAACUAAAAUGUUGCUGUUGUCGCUGAUUUUGACGCUUUCGCUAGGAUUGGCAAAUGGAGCCAUAUUACCAGGUGAGUUUACACCAUAAAAGAUUGCACCAACGACAUUCCUUUGGACAAAGGCAAAUCCAACCAGAUAGCAGUGAAGUAUUUAAAAGAUAAAUAACCGCUUAGCUAAGCGCUUAACUACAUAAGCGCCUAAGCAUCUAAGCAUUGGUGUGUGUCUGGCAUGAGUGGAGCGUUUAAAUGCUUACGGCCUGACACGCUACUAAGUGGCGCACUUCAGACGUUGCCAACAAAACUGACACUUCAGAGCGAAAAAAAUUCUAAAGAUAACCCCGAAGGAGUGAAAAAGAAGAAAAAGAAAAUUUAAGU